rnacentral:rRNA from 1 species
UACGUAGGGGUGCAAGCGUUGUCCGGAAUUAUUGGGCGUAAAGAGCUCGUAGGCGGUUCGUCGCGUCGGCUGUGAAAACCCGGAGCUCAACUCCGGGCCUGCAGUCGAUACGGGCGGACUUGAGUGUUGCAGGGGAGACUGGAAUUCCUGGUGUAGCGGUGAAAUGCGCAGAUAUCAGGAGGAACACCGGUGGCGAAGGCGGGUCUCUGGGCAACUACUGACGCUGAGGAGCGAAAGCGUGGGGAGCGAACAGG